AUUGAACGCUGGCGGCAAGCCUAACACAUGCAAGUCGAACGGAGUGGCGGACGGGUGAGUAAUGUCUGGGAAACUGCCUGAUGGAGGGGGAUAACUUCUGGAAACGGUAGCUAAUACCGCAUACUAUCAGAUGAGCCUAGGUCGGAUUAGCUAGUUGGUGGGGUAAAGGCCUACCAAGGCGACGAUCCGUAACUGGUCUGAGAGGAUGAGCAGUCACACUGGAACUGAGAGACGGGCCUGACGCCUACGGGAGGCAGCAGUGGGGAAUAUGGGACAAUGGGCGAAAGCCUGAUCCAGCCAUGCCGCGUGUGUGAGGAAGGUCUUCGGAUUGUAAAGCACUUUAAGUUGGGAGGCGUUACCAACAGAAUAAGCACCGGCUAACUUCGUGCCAGCAGCCGCGGUAAUAC
rnacentral:rRNA from 1 species